GCGCCUAUAGCUCAACGGAUAGAGCAAUAGUCUUCGGAACUAUUUAUGCAAGUUCGAUUCUUGCUAGGCGCG
rnacentral:tRNA from 1 species